AAUAGAUACCCGGGUAGUCCACGCUGUAAACGAUGAGUACUAGCUGUCGGAGGUUACCCCCUUCGGUGGCGCAGCUAACGACAUUAAGUACUCCGCCUGGGAAGUACGGCUCGCAAGAGUGAAACUACAAAGGAAUUGACGGGGACCCGCACAAGUAGCGGAGCAUGUGGUUUAAUUCGAGGCAACGCGAAGAACCUUACCUAAGCUUGACAUCCUUUUGACCGAUGCCUAAUCGCAUCUUUCCCUUCGGGGACAGAAGUGACAGGUGGUGCAUGGUUGUCGUCAGCUCGUGUCGUGAGAUGUUGGGUUAAGUCCCGCAACGAGCGCAACCCUUGCCUUUAGUUGCCAGCAUUAAGUUGGGCACUCUAGAGGGACUGCCGAGGGAUAACCUGGAGGAAGGUGGGGAUGACGUCAAAUCAUCAUGCCCCCUUAUGCUUAGGGCUACACACGUGCUACAAUGGGGUUGGUACAGAGGGCAGCCAAGUCGUGAGGCGGAGCUAAUCCCUUAAAGCCAUUCUCAGUUCGGAUUGUAGGCUGAAACUCG
rnacentral:rRNA from 1 species